rfam:Lactobacillus plantarum WCFS1 complete genome
UGCGAUGAGUCGAUAGAGUCAGAUCGUUAGCAAUAACGGUUCCGCGCGAGCGGCUAGUGACUAAUAUUGAUAGCGGGGCACGUUUCUCUGACGUAUUUCAGAGUGUCUGGGUCACUGACAUUGUGGAGUGU